rnacentral:rRNA from 1 species
UGAGGAAUAUUGGUCAAUGGGCUAAAGCCUGAACCAGCCAUCCCGCGUGCAGGAUGACAGCCUUAUGGGUUGUAAACUGCUUUUCUACAUAAAGAACGGGUCAUACGUGUAUGGCAUUGACGGUAGUGUAGGAAUAAGCAUCGGCUAACUCCGUGCCAGCAGCCGCGGUAAUACGGAGGAUGCAAGCGUUAUCCGGAUUCAUUGGGUUUAAAGGGUGCGCAGGCGGAGAGAUAAGUCAGUGGUGAAAUACUGCCGCUCAACGGUAGUCUUGCCAUUGAUACUGUCUUUCUUGAGUAUGGAUGAGGUAGGCGGAAUGUGCAGUGUAGCGGUGAAAUGCAUAGAUAUUGCACGGAACACCAAUUGCGAAGGCAGCUUACUGGACCAUUACUGACGCUCAGGCACGAAAGCGUGGGGAUCAAACCAGGAUUAGAUACCCUGGUAGUCCACGCAGUAAACCGAUGUUCACUCGCUGUUUGCGAUAUACCUGUAAGCGGCCUAG